GUCAUCGAAGAACUCCUCGAUGAACUGCAUGGAGCAGCAUGGUUUUCCAAGUUAGAUUUGCGUGCGGGCUAUCACCAGAUCAGACUGGCUCCAGGCGAAGAGCACAAGACAGCCUUCUCAACACACCAGGGCCAUUUCGAGUUCAAGGUUCUGUCCUUUGGACUAGCUGGGGCUCCUCCCACAUUCAUUGAAGGACUGACUACUACUCUCAAACCAGUAAUACACAUUUGUGUGCUUUGUUUCUUUGAUGACAUCUUGAUUUUUAGUGCCACAUUGGAGGAACACAAGUGUCACGUGAAACAGGUGCUGGAACUGCUUCGCAAAGACCACUGGAAAGUUAAGCUCAGCAAAUGUGCGUUCGGACAA
rnacentral:rRNA from 1 species